rnacentral:rRNA from 1 species
GAUGAACGCUAGCUACAGGCUUAACACACGCAAGUCGAGGGGUAACAAGAGAAAAGCUUGCUUUUCUUGUUGACGACCGGCGCACGGGUGAGUAACGCGUAUCCAACCUGCCUAUAACUAGGGAAUAACCUUGCGAAAGUAAGACUAAUACCCUAUGAUUUCCUUUGAUGACAUCAGAUUAGGAAUAAAGAUUUAUCGGUUAUAGAUGGGGAUGCGUCUGAUUAGCUUGUUGGCGGGGUAACGGCCCACCAAGGCAACGAUCGGUAGGGGUUCUGAGAGGAAGGUCCCCCACAUUGGAACUGAGACACGGUCCAAACUCCUACGGGAGGCAGCAGUGAGGAAUAUUGGUCAAUGGGCGGAAGCCUGAACCAGCCAAGUAGCGUGCAGGAUGACGGCCCUAUGGGUUGUAAGCUGCUUUUAUACAGGAAUAAAGUUAGCCACGUGUGGUUAUUUGUAGGUACUGUAUGAAUAAGGACCGGCUAAUUCCGUGCCAGCCGCCGCCGUAA